UCUCCGUAGGUGAACCUGCGGAGGGAUCAUUAACACGUUUUCACUAACGUUUAACAAACCAAAAACCCGUGAACUAGAAAAAACUCCCUUCAUAUCAUGAACGAACGAACAGCUAAGGUGGAGUGGGGAUACGGUGAGCCUUCUGGUAAACCCUCCCGCUGCGAAGCGUUCUAGGAGCCUUAGAGCUUCAUUCAUGUAUGGAGUGUCAACUUUGCCACCACCUUGGGAGACUAACAACUCUGCUUGCAGUGUUGUUAACCAUCUUCCGAAAACCUUAUUCACACAUUUUUAACCCCAUUAAAACUCAUACUAAUAAACUGAACCUUUUUUUUGCUUUUUUUUGACCUCGGUCGAAGAAAACGAAAAAGAUAUACGUAAUGCUGAACAACUCUUAGCAAUGGAUAUCUUGGUUCUC
rnacentral:misc_RNA from 1 species